UUUGCGGUUGCACCAUCUCCUCUCAUAA
rnacentral:sRNA from 1 species